rnacentral:rRNA from 1 species
GACGAACGCUGGCGGCGUGCCUAACACAUGCAAGUCGAACGGGACCGGGGGCAACUCCGGUUCAGUGGCGGACGGGUGCGUAACACGUGAGGAACAUGACCUUCGGCGGGGGAUAGCCGGCCCAACGGCCGGGUAAUACCGCGUACGACCAUUCGGGGACAUCCCUAGAUGGUGAAAGCAGCAAUGCGCCGAUGGAGUGCCUCGCGGCCUAUCAGCUAGUUGGUGGGGUAACGGCCUACCAAGGCGACGACGGGUAGCUGGUCUGAAAGGAUGGCCAGCCACAUUGGGACUGAGACACGGCCCAGACUCCUACGGGAGGCAGCAGUGGGGAAUAUUGCGCAAUGGACGAAAGUCUGACGCAGCGACGCCGCGUGUGGGAUGACGGUCUUCGGAUUGUAAACCACUGUCGGGAGGGACGAAUACGCCGCAAGGCGGGUGACGGUACCUCCAAAGGAAGCACCGGCUAACUCCGUGCCAGCAGCCGCGGUAAUACGGAGGGUGCGAGCGUGUCCGG